rnacentral:rRNA from 1 species
GACGAACGCUGGCGGCGUGCCUAAUACAUGCAAGUAGAACGCUGAAGAGAGGAGCUUGCUCUUCUUGGAUGAGUUGCGAACGGGUGAGUAACGCGUAGGUAACCUGCCUUGUAGCGGGGGAUAACUAUUGGAAACGAUAGCUAAUACCGCAUAACAAUGGAUGACACAUGUCAUUUAUUUGAAAGGGGCAAUUGCUCCACUACAAGAUGGACCUGCGUUGUAUUAGCUAGUAGGUGAGGUAACGGCUCACCUAGGCGACGAUACAUAGCCGACCUGAGAGGGUGAUCGGCCACACUGGGACUGAGACACGGCCCAGACUCCUACGGGAGGCAGCAGUAGGGAAUCUUCGGCAAUGGGGGCAACCCUGACCGAGCAACGCCGCGUGAGUGAAGAAGGUUUUCGGAUCGUAAAGCUCUGUUGUAAGUCAAGAACGAGUGUGAGAGUGGAAAGUUCACACUGUGACGGUAGCUUACCAGAAAGGGACGGCUAACUACGUGCCAGCAGCCGCGGUGAUACGUAGGUCCCGAGCGUUGUCCGGAUUUAUUGGGCGUAAAGCGAGCGCAGGCGGUUUGAUAAGUCUGAAGUUAAAGGCUGUGGCUCAACCAUAGUUCGCUUUGGAAACUGUCAAACUUGAGUGCAGAAGGGGAGAGUGGAAUUCCAUGUGUAGCGGUGAAAUGCGUAGAUAUAUGGAGGAACACCGGUGGCGAAAGCGGCUCUCUGGUCUGUAACUGACGCUGAGGCUCGAAAGCGUGGGGAGCGAACAGGAUUAGAUACCCUGGUAGUCCACGCCGUAAACGAUGAGUGCUAGGUGUUGGAUCCUUUCCGGGAUUCAGUGCCGCAGCUAACGCAUUAAGCACUCCGCCUGGGGAGUACGACCGCAAGGUUGAAACUCAAAGGAAUUGACGGGGGCCCGCACAAGCGGUGGAGCAUGUGGUUUAAUUCGAAGCAACGCGAAGAACCUUACCAGGUCUUGACAUCCCGAUGCUAUUUCUAGAGAUAGAAAGUUACUUCGGUACAUCGGUGACAGGUGGUGCAUGGUUGUCGUCAGCUCGUGUCGUGAGAUGUUGGGUUAAGUCCCGCAACGAGCGCAACCCCUAUUGUUAGUUGCCAUCAUUCAGUUGGGCACUCUAGCGAGACUGCCGGUAAUAAACCGGAGGAAGGUGGGGAUGACGCCAAAUCAUCAUGCCCCUUAUGACCUGGGCUACACACGUGCUACAAUGGUUGGUACAACGAGUUGCGAGUCGGUGACGGCAAGCUAAUCUCUUAAAGCCAAUCUCAGUUCGGAUUGUAGGCUGCAACUCGCCUACAUGAAGUCGGAAUCGCUAGUAAUCGCGGAUCAGCACGCCGCGGUGAAUACGUUCCCGGGCCU